rnacentral:siRNA from 1 species
AGAAUAGUCUCAAAAUAUUCUUA